AUGGAAAAUCUGCAAGGUCUUUGCUCAUGUUAAUGAGAGACAACCAGAAGCUCAGUCUCUGUCCAACAAAUCCUACUUCAAGUUGGAAGAGAAGAAAGGUCAGAAGAGUCAGCACUGCAAGGAAGGACUCACUAAGGAUAGGUGGUGGAUAUUCAAUCCACAUCUGAAACAAAUGUACUUUCAAUAAGCCCCCAUGGGCUGGAGAGUCAAGAAACCAGCUCAGGUUUCUUGAGAUUGUGGUGACAGGUUAUUAAAUGUUAUGUGAUGACCUUUACACAUCAAGCACAAGCUCAAAGCUCACACCCUCUUGAAGACUGCUCAAACCGACUUUCUCAAAUUUACUUCAAUAUGGAGUCAACAAAAGCCACGGUCCUCUCAGUCAUUCUCAGGGUUCCUAUCUGAUCCCCUGGUCGUGUAUGGUGAAGUCAAAUCAGCAAGAAGAAACAAUGAGAAGCCAUUUCAUCUCAUGUUCUUAAAAGCACUCAAAUUCAGCUCAAAUUCAGCCAUGCUUCAAGGAAAGUUCACAGGCGGAUGAUGUCCAAUAGAACCAAGAAGACCAGGAGGACAGGAGGGGAUCCAAGGGUGAGCUUUACAAACAGGGCCAAACACACAAGGAAAAGGAGUUGGGUAAUGAAUCCAAAACUCAAAUCCACCAAGCUCAGAUGAGUAGUGUGUAUAUGAAGGUUCAAGGAACCAGCCCAGGUUCCUUGGCUGUAAGUUAAACCUCCUAAACCUGAACAAUAGCUUGUGUAAUGUGUCUGGUCGUUUUUGAGUGAUGGUUUAGAGUCCAAUGGAUCAUGAUAAGUUGCUAGAAGUUGCAUUUUGUCUUAAUCUUAUCAUCUGUGGUUGUUUUUGUUCCUAGAAGUGUCUGCCUAGGUUGUCAUGCAUCCAUGAUAUAUUGAUAUCGAUUGGGAGUCCUUUAAUUGUCAUGUCUGCCUUGAGAUUGUUAAGUAUCUAGGAGUGUUCCUAGAUGUGUGGUGUAUUCAUGCUGUUGUUGAAAUUGAUUAGGUUAUUAGCCUAGUCUUCUUUAGCAUCUGGAUUGUCUUAAAAAUGCAUAUUGGAUUGUAUUAAAGAGGCAUACAUAUUGUUCCUGGUGCAUUCAUAUUGUUUCUAAAGCUGUCAUAGGAGGUGAUAAGCUCUUUUGCAAUCUGUUUUUUUUUUAAGCAGUGGCGACCAGUCUUCAUUUUAUUCAAUGAUCUGGUCCCAUGCUGAUGUUACUGAUCCCUAUCUGAGUUGUAAUGGUGUGUAGGACACAGGAUGUGACUAUUAGACCAGAAGCAGCAACAGGAAAAGGGAUAUACCCAUGUUGAUCAGAGCCUGCACAAGAUGCAUAUUCCUGAACAUGGAGAAAAGAGACCAUGUUGUUCAGAGCCUACACUUGGUGUAUAUUACUGACCAUGGAGAGACAUCUUAUGAGUGGAAUCAGUUGGCUUAAGCGCAGGCGUAGGAGCUGUUGUGCUCCUGGUUCAAGAGACUCACAAGGAAGGCCAUCACCUAAGUCAUGAGGAGACUGGUGGUCCAAAGACAUUGGAGCUGAAGGCAAAUGGUGAUCCAGUUGGCUUAAGCGCAGAUGUUGGUAUUGUUGUGCUCCUGGAAGAUGGUGAACUGGUUGGCUUAAGCGCAGAUGUUGGUAUUGUUGUGCUCCCAGUUCAAAACUCAUUGAAGCUCACGUUCAAGCUUGUCACUAUACUCAGUCAAGCUUGAGGAGGGGAAUAUCAGUGAGCUACCAAAAGAUCCAUGAAGCUUAUUAUAUCCAGUGUCCCAUUUCCUCAUAGAAGACCAGCAAGAGGUUGGCAAAUUAAAAGAGGACUUAAGUGAUCAGUCUGAAGAAGCUGUCACUCCUCACUGUUCUUACCAGCCAGAUGCAAGGAUUAUUCAAUCAGGGACAUUCUUGGCUAAGCAAUCACAUGAUGGUGGCAAAUUAUGUAGUUGCAAAGUCCCCCUACAUGUUGAAACUUCAAGAGAACAAUGCAAAGGCUGGUUGAGAGAAGGAAUGGCGUGGAGGAUUCAAAUGCUCUGCACUCCUCAUCAACAUUCCAGAAACUAAUGCAAGGGGAGUACCUAAAACCAUCCUUAUUCUUAUGUGAGAAUAGGUUUUCCCCUUGAGAAUUGAUACAUGCAUUCUUUGUAUGAUUGAAUCAGGUACCUAUUGAGCUUAUGAACAAAGACAAGCUUUGUCUCAACCCCUAAAUAGAGGCAAGAAGCUAGAAGAAAGGGGGAGACAAGCUCAGGUCAUAAGAAGAAGCUCAAAGGUGAUUUGAUGGUGAAGGAAUUGGCGCCAAUCCAAGUUUGCAAGUAGUGGAUUCACUCUUGCAUUACUCAGUACCAACCGUGUGAUUGAGCUCACCAUUCUUAUAAAAGGGAAGCACCUUAAACUCAUCUCAAUACAUUCUUGAUUGUCCUUAUACUUAAACUAUUAUUGAGUUUGAUGUGAUGAGUGCAUUUCCUUAAGAACUGAUGCACUUUUGAAAUGAUGUAUCAGGUACCAAAAUAAGUUUGAGCCUCACUGAAGAUGAUGAUGAUGAUCCGGUCAUGUCCUAGCCUUCCUAAGGUAGUUGAAGCCAGUUGAGAGAGAGAGAGACCCUAAACCGGCCACAAAAUGAUCCAGCCUGCCACUUGUGCUCAAGGAUAGCAAGUUAUGGUGAUUCAUACUUGCUAUACCUAUUAGGCCACGAUCCAGAGCCUAAGGACUCCACCAUGAUGAAUCUGAAGUUCCUUAGGCUCACUGGCCAAUCCCUAAGCUUUGUAGAAACUCCACUCUUUUUUCCCUUAGCAAGUUUUGUCCCAAUGGGUUUUCUUGCUAAGGUUUUUAAUGAGGGAGCUUCUUCAAGGUUCCAAGCUUGUCCAAGGAUCUCCUAUGGUCAAGCUUGAGGGGGAGUGUUGAAAUGAAGAAGGGAAUGACCAGAAGAAGAAGCUGGUUCAUGAUCCAAGUUUGAUAUUGUAGAGGAAGUAAUCUGGAUACUUCAAAGAUGAGACUGGUUCAUACAGACUUGUGAACCAAGUUAUGGUUAGAGUGGAGAAGGAAGAAGCAUGGCUGAGUGUGAUCCAUUGAUCUUAUAAAUAAAGAAGACAAAGAGAAGAAGAGAUACUUGAAAAGAUUCAGGUCUGGAAAACCUUGCUACACAAGGCAGUCCGUACAGUCUUGGCUUCCAAGUUACCUAGAGUGACUUGGAUGGUAAGGCAGGUGAGGAACUCGUACAGCUUGAUCUUCUGAAGCAGAUUUGAAGUUAAAAUGGAGCAUCAGACCGUUGGAGAGAGCUGAGACAAGUUGGGAAUUAAAUAGAGUAAAAGUCACAUGUGCAUAAGAGGAUGAACCUGCUGUCACUUUCACCCAACCAGACUGUGCCCAUCUCUCUCCCCUGUCACUCUCUACUCCCUCUGGUCGAGAUUCACCUUGGCUGUACCUUCCUGGCUUCACCAGAAAACCCUACAAUAUUAUUUGUUUAGUAAAACCCUGUUUUAGUAUUUGUUUAAUAUGUGUGCUUGUCUAUUUAAGACAAUGUUGUAUCUGAUUGUAAACUAAGGAGAGUAAAACUCUUUCUUCACAUACUCUGGUUACUAAACUCUCAGAUUCUCCUA